CAUCACAACCACUUUGCGCAAACACCACCAUCGUUGGCAGCCACAGUUAGCUAGCCUAGCUCUCGCCUGCUACUAGGAUGCCAUUGCCAGUGCCAGGUGGGGACGAUGGUGGAGGCAGGGGAGGGAACGGUGGUGGAGGUACGGGAGGAGCCGCAGGCGCAGGCGGGAGAGGGAACGGUGGUGGAGGUAGGGGAGGAGCCGCAGGUGCAGGCGGCAGAGGGAACGGUGGUGGAGGUAGGGGAGGAGCCGCAGGCGCAGGCGGCAGAGGGAACGGUGGUGGAGGUAGGGGAGGAGCCGCAGGCGCAGGCGGCAGAGGGAACGGUGGUGGAGGUAGGGGAGGAGACGCAGGCGCAGGCGGCAGAGGGUACUUAGCUGAACCCUUGGCCAAGUUCAAUGGUCCACAAGAGUCACCCUUCAUAACGAACGGAUAUAUUAGCAGGCCAGAAGUGGGGUUGUUUGAUCGGGCCUUGGGACUGUUUCGAGGCGGACGAGGUCAGGGAGAGAUGGCCGGGCCAUUCGGACUGCAUGCGGCGGACGCAGAAGCGUACAUACCAGUACGGCCGCCGGCGGAGUCCACCACGCCGUUGAGGUCAGGCUCCAGCUCCAGCUCCAGCUCCACGCCGCCGAAUUCAAACGCAAGUUUCGGCAAGAACCCUUAUGCAUAUGAUGGUCCACCCCCAUGGCUUCAACCGGUCCGGCGUGGCCCUCCUCCGCAGUAAUUAAGCACCUGCAAGUGAUGUCGGAUCCCUGAAUCAAGCCUUCAAUUUCGUGCGUGGUCAGCGAUAAGCAACAAGACAUGAAAUGCGAAAUGGAGCGCAGAGACAAAUCAAGUUUUAACUACUCGGGCUUGUGGGAUAUCAAUCUAGUUGGUCUCAGCGGUGUGUGUGGAGUACGUGCGUCUAUUCCGUAUACUAAGAAUAUUGUUGUUGUUGUUGUUGUUCACUGUCAUCAACAUGUUAACAGGCUUGUAACCCAUCUUCAUCUGUUGCGGACAGCCAUACUUGUUUUUCUUUUGAACGUGCAGUAGGACUGCACGUUCAUUUAAUAAAAAAAGAAAGAUAAUAGUCUA